CCAGACUCCUACGGGAGGCAGCAGUGGGGAAUAUUGCACAAUGGGGGAAACCCUGAUGCAGCAACGCCGUGUGAGUGAAGAAGCGUUUCGGCGCGUAAAGCUCUGUCAGCGGGGAAGAAAGAAGACGGUACCCGACCAAGAAGCCCCGGCUAACUACGUGCCAGCAGCCGCGGUAAUACGUAGGGGGCAAGCGUUAUCCGGAUUUACUGGGUGUAAAGGGAGCGCAGACGGCCAGACAAGUCUGAAGUGAAAAUCCAGCGCUUAACGUUGGAAGUGCUUUGGAAACUGCCGGGCUGGAGUGCAGGAGGGGCAGGCGGAAUUCCUAGUGUAGCGGUGAAAUGCGUAGAUAUUAGGAGGAACACCAGUGGCGAAGGCGGCCUGCUGGACUGCAACUGACGUUGAGGCUCGAAGGCGUGGGGAGCAAACAGGAUUAGAUACCCGUGUA
rnacentral:rRNA from 1 species